rnacentral:rRNA from 1 species
AUUGCCCCAGUAACGGCGAGUGAAGCGGCAAGAGCUCAAAUUUGAAAGCUGGCUCCUUCGGGGUCCGCAUUGUAAUUUGCAGAGGAUGCUUCGGGAGCGGUCCCCAUCUAAGUGCCCUGGAACGGGACGUCAUAGAGGGUGAGAAUCCCGUAUGGGAUGGGGUGUCCGCGCCCGUGUGAAGCUCCUUCGACGAGUCGAGUUGUUUGGGAAUGCAGCUCUAAAUGGGUGGUAAAUUUCAUCUAAAGCUAAAUAUUGGCCGGAGACCGAUAGCGCACAAGUAGAGUGAUCGAAAGAUGAAAAGCACUUUGAAAAGAGAGUUAAAAAGCACGUGAAAUUGUUGAAAGGGAAGCGCUUGCGACCAGACUCGCUCGCGGGGUUCAGCCGGCAUUCGUGCCGGUGUAUUUCCCCGCGGGCGGGCCAGCGUCGGUUUGGGCGGUCGGUCAAAGGCCCUCGGAAGGUAACGCCCCUAGGGGCGUCUUAUAGCCGAGGGUGCAAUGCGACCUGCCUAGACCGAGGAACGCGCUUCGGCUCGGACGCUGGCAUAAUGGUCGUAAGCGACCCGUCUUG